UACGUAGGUGGCGAGCGUUGUCCGGAUUUACUGGGCGUAAAGCGCGCGUAGGCGGCCUGUUAAGUUCGAUGUGAAAGGUUUCGGCUCAACCGGAACACGGCAUGGGAUACUGGCAGGCUUGAGGGCAGCAGAGGUCGGUGGAAUUCCCGGUGGAGUGGUGAAAUGCGUAGAGAUCGGGAGGAACACCAGUGGCGAAGGCGGCCGACUGGGCUGUACCUGACGCUGAGGCGCGAAAGCGUGGGGAGCGAACCGG
rnacentral:rRNA from 1 species